AUUGAACGCUGGCGACAUGCUUUACACAUGCAAGUCGAACGGUAACAGGCCGCAAGGUGCUGACGAGUGGCGAACGGGUGAGUAAUGCAUCGGAACGUGCCCAGUCGUGGGGGAUAACGCAGCGAAAGCUGUGCUAAUACCGCAUACGAUCUAUGGAUGAAAGCGGGGGACCGUAAGGCCUCGCGCGAUUGGAGCGGCCGAUGUCAGAUUAGGUAGUUGGUGGGGUAAAGGCCUACCAAGCCGACGAUCUGUAGCUGGGCUGAGAGGACGACCCGCCACACGUGGACGGUGACACGGCCCAGACUCCUACGGGAGGAAGAUGUGGGGAAUUUUGGACAAUGGGCGCAAGCAUGAUCCAGCAAUGCCGCGUGCAGGAAGAAGGCCUUCGGGUUGUAAACUGCUUUUGUACGGAACGAAACGGUCUGGGUUAAUACCCUGGGCUAAUGACGGUACCGUAAGAAUAAGCACCGGCUAACUACGUGCCAGCAGCCGCCGUAACAC
rnacentral:rRNA from 1 species